GACGAACGCUGGCGGCGUGCUUAACACAUGCAAGUCGAACGGAAAGGCCCUGCUUUUGUGGGGUUCUCGAGUGGCGAACGGGUGAGUAACACGUGAGUAACCUGCCCUUGACUUUGGGAUAACUUCAGGAAACUGGGGCUAAUACCGGAUAGGAGCUCCUGCUGCAUGGUGGGGGUUGGAAAGUUUCGGCGGUUGGGGAUGGACUCGCGGCUAUCAGCUUGGUGGUUGGGUAGGGGCCUAUCAAGGCUUUGACGGGUAGCCGGCCUGAGAGGGGGAGCGGGCACAUUGGGACUGAGAUACGGCCCAGUCUCGUACGGGAGGCAGCAGUGGGGAGUAUUGCACAAUGGGCGGAAGCGUGAUGCAGCAACGCCGCGUGCGGGAUGACGGCCUUCGGGUUGUAAACCGCUUUAGCCUGUGACGAAGCGUGAGUGACGGUAAUGGGUAAAGAAGCACCGGCUAACUACGUG
rnacentral:rRNA from 1 species